AUGGCCACUCUACAGGUGGAUCUAGCCACUCUACAGGUGGGUCUAACCACACCCUCCCCCCACACUGCUGCCUCACAAAUGGGCCUCAUCCAUCCACAGGUGGGGCUACUCAUCCCAGGGGAAUCUGGUCACCCACACAGGUGGAUCAAGUACCCCACAAGUGAAUCAUCACCUCAUAGGAACCCUGCCCACGAUGAAAGCCUGUCCAGCAUUUGAUGAGCUCUUCUUUCCACCUGCUCCUGCCCAGUGAUGAAACUGUGGGCUACUAGCCCCAUUUCACAGAAAAGAAAACAGAGGUUCCAAGAGGCUUGUGAGUGGCUGAGUCCCUGAGCUCCAGCUAGAACCUUACAACUCAAGUAACUGUUGGCGCCUACCCAACACUUGAAGUUGAGGUCUAGGAGCCAAAGGAACCCCAGACCUUGGGGCCGGAGAAGGCUCUGUUGAAAAAUGGACUCAUCUGAGCUCCUAGAAUCUGGAUUCUUCCAUCUGCCCGAAUCCUGUGGAAGAGGAAACAAAACAGAAGCGGGUCCCGAUACUUUGGUUUUAUGGCUGAUUUUCUUAUAAUCCACCCUACCUCGACACGAAGUUAAUUCUUUGUGUGUUUACGUGCAUCUAUGUUUUCAGGUGUGUGUGUGUGUGUGUGUUUGUGUGUGUGUGCUCAUGCACAUGAGGGGGUACAGAAUACAACUAAAAUGCCAUUCCUUAGGUGCUAUCUACUUUGAUUUUUUUUAAAUUAAAAACAUUCAUUUGCUCUGAGUGUGUGUGUGUAUGUGUGUGUGUGAUUUGUGUGUCUGAGAGUGGAUGUGUUGUGUGUGUCUCUCCAUGUGUUGUGUGUGUG
rnacentral:lncRNA from 1 species